GGCUGCGAGGGAGGAGGCCGGCACCGGUCAGAGCUCUGGAGGCCAGCCGCCUCCCGGAGACCUUCGGGAGGAGCCCCCUGCUGUCCCCGCCUCCCUGUCCCGAGCUCGCCCCGGACGUCUCUCGGAAGAGAGCUUAACAACACAAAAUGGGCAAAGGAUCUAACGGAUAUUUCUUCAAGGAAGAUAUACAAAUGACCAAUAAACACAUGUAAAGAUACCCGACAUCAUUAGCUAUCAAGGAAAUGCAAAGCAAAACCACAAUGAUGCCGCUUUAUACCCACAAAGCUGGCUACAGUAAAAAAAGAUAGUAACAAGCCUUAGCGAAGAUGUGAAAAGUUGGAACCCUCAUACACUGCUGGUGAGAAUGUAAAUUUCCUCAUUGGAGAACAGUUUGGCAAUUCCUCGAAAGGUUAAACAUACGGUUACCAUAAGACUUAUAAAUUGUAGGCAUAUACCGCAUGAAACUUCUACACAAAUGUUCAUAGCAGCACUGGUUCAUAAAAGCUCCAAAGUGGAAACCCAAAUGUCCAUCAACUACUGAAUGGAUAAAGAAACUGUGGAAUAACCACGCCAUGGAAUGUUAUUCAGCCAUAAGAAGGAAUGAAGUCCUGAUUCAUCCAUUCAGCGUGGAUUCGCCUGAAAAACAUGCUCAGUGAGAGAAGCCAGUCACAAAAGACUGUAUCUUGUACUUACGUGAGAUGCCCAGAAAAAGGCAGACGUAUAAAGCCAAAAUGUAGAUUAGUGGUUGUCUAGGGCCUGGGGGGUCAUGGGGACAUGGGGAGUGGCUGCCAAGGGGUGUGGGGUUUCUUUUUAAGGAGAUGAGAUGUUGUAAAAUUACUUCCGGCUCUGUGAAUAUACUAAACAGCAUUAACUUGUACACUUUAAGCAGGUGAAUUACACGGUAUGUGAAUUAUAUGCCAAUAAAACUGUCAUUAAAAGAGGGGACUGGAGCUGGCUCCUCCCUAACCCUAUGUACCAGAAGCCCGAUCACUUUGAAUCCUAGGCUAGCAUGUUGUGCACCCAGACUUGGAAGUGAAUUUGUUUUAAGCCCACAGGCUGGCCUGCACACCAGGCCCCGGGAAACUUGGGCCCCACUCCCCCCAGAAUGGCACAGGGGGUACCAGGGCCUCCCAAAUUCCCAGAGAGAAAAAAUGUAGUAACUCCAGGAAACAUGCUUAAAACCCCCAAGGCACGGCCUCUCGUGGAAGCAGUCUGCUGCUGUUAGCCUCACCUGUGCUGGUUAUUGGUGGGGAGAAGAGGGGACAUUGGGGGGUGCACAGUGUAGGCCAAACAGGGCUCCGGGUACCUUUUCUGCCUCCCUUCAGCUAAGGACUGAACUGUGUUCCCCCAAAUGAAUACGGUGAAGCCCUAACCCCCAAUAUGAUGGCAUCUGGGGAUCCGUCUUGGGGGGCUUAGAUGAGGUCACGAGGUGGAGCCCUCAUGAUGGAAUUCGUGCCCUUAUGAGAGGACACACCAGGGAUCAUGUUGACUCUCUCUCUCUCUCUCUCUCUCUGCCAUGUGAAGACACAGUGACAAGGCAGUCACCCACAAGCCAGGAAGAGUGCUGUCAUCAGAACCCAACCAUGCUGGCAACCAGACCUCGGACCUCCAGCCUCCAGAACUGUGAGAAAGUGAACGUCUGUUGUUUAAGCCCCCAGGCUAUGCUAUUUUGGUGCGACGGCCCGAUCUGGGUAUCUUCCGUUCCCAUGUGGCCCUGGGGAUGGCCAAAGCCAGUAUCCACAGGCUGGGCCAGGACCCACUGCCACCAAAAGGAUACUGCUGCAGCUUCUGCCGCUGGUCCAUGGAGCCCGAGUGGUGGAUGAUCUUGCGCAGGCCCUGCACCCAGUGCCGGGCGUCAGCUGGCGAUGGGGCGAUGAGGUCUAGUGUAUUGCGCUGGUCCUUGAAGACGAUGGAGAAGCAGCGGUCCUCGGGCACAUCGCGGGCAUACUUCUCCAGGCCCUCCGUGCGGUGCCCCAUCCGCACCUCCUGAAUGUCCUCAAUGGAGACUGCAAAAAGGGGACAGGUGGCAGAGGGAGCUGCGAGGCCAGUCCCUGCCCCCGAUGCGCCCAAGGCACAGCGUAGGGGCCGGUAGAGCCGGGGCUGGAGCUCUACGAUCCAGAGACAAGGAGAGGGACAGGAGGACAGAUGAGGCGGCACAGAAGGGAGGAAGGAGGCCAGAGACUGAGGUGUUGGAAGAACGUGAGACACAACUGUGGUGUGCAGCGGAUACGCACAGGGAGGGACAGAGGGAGAGGCCGACCUCAGAGAGGGGCACCUGGGACCCCAGCCCGGCUCUUUCUGGACCGGGAGGGUGUAGGACCCCUGGGAGAGCACUGGGGCCGGACAGGGCUUUUAGAGAUGGGGGAGACCAUCUGGAGCUUGGAGCCUGCGACAGACAGGAGGCCACAAACCCUCCUCAUUGCCCUUGACUUUGUACCGUCUUCCCCUCAGACGGCCAUGAGAGCCUCCAGGCCCCUCUCCUGACCAUCCAGGAGGCAGAAGCCAUCAUGGCCCUGGGGUGUGGGUGCAGAGGGAGAAGUGCUUGCGUUGGAGCGUAGGCAGGGCCUUGCCCUGCAUGUGUCUGUGUGUGUCCUGACCUCAGAGAACCCCUUGGCAAGGAGGGUGCAGGAAGGCCGUGGCCCUCUAGGACCCCAAGGGGUGCCCCUUAGGAGUCUGAGGGAGUACACCAUUCUGUCCUCAGAAGCUGGGGGGAAAGGCCUUCCGUCACAUUCAAGCCCUCCAAGCUUCAGGGAGCAGCAAGCCCCUGCCUCCCUGCUACCCCCAGUGUGUCCUCCCUGGCCUGGCCGUGAGCCAGUCCCACCAGCUGGGCUCACGCUAAGCUGCCCAGCAUCAAGGUUCAGGCGCUGCCCCUGCCCCACCCGCGUCCUGAGCCAUCCACAUUCAUCUGUCUCGGGUCCUAGACCAGCUCUGGCUACAAGCUCACCUCUCCUCCCGGUGCCUGCCUGCACCCUGAGUGCCCAGACGCCUCCCAGCCACCUACCUACAAGCCCUAGGUGUAUGACAUGUGCCCCCACCUGGGCAGCAGGCUCUGAUGGCCAGACACGUGAGCCCUAGGCCAUCUGGGGUGCUGGGGGUACCUGCGCUUAAUCCCUCUGCCCACGGCCUCCUGUGCCGGCGAGGCUCACCCCAGCGGCAGGCAGCUGACCCAGGCUGGGGUGACAACAGGAAACCUGAGCUGUGGAGCUGGGCCAGCACCCCCACCCGCACCAGAGAGAGAUUCCAGAUGCCUCCGCUGCUGAUAAUGCCUUGUCCGCCUCUGGGAGCCAGAGUGGGGGGAGUGUGGUAGUGGAAGGGUCAGGGGAAACUUAGCAGGAAGCAGAGGCAGAGAGAACUGGGGGCGCUGCUCCCCUCCUCCCUCACCUGGCCUCAGCUUCCCCGAGGACAGAGCGCAUUUGGGGCCAACAGUCUCGCUGCUCACCCAGAGGAGGGAAGCAGCCAACACGGGUGCUCAGCCCGAGAGCUGUCUCGGUGUCUCUGUCACGGAAGAGAGCCUCUUCUAGCCAUGUUCCUCACCUGAGCACACCUGGUGCCUGACCCCCCACCUGUCACCCCUGCAGCCCCUCUGCCCAGGCCCCUCACUUGUGCCCCUUCCUCGUUCUCCCCUCUGUGUCUUUGCUCACGCUGGUCUCCGGCCUGGGACGCCCCUCCUGCCCUCGUGUUCACAGCUGUCCCAGGAUGAGGGGCUCGUCUCCCCAGCCCAGGUCCCCUACCCCUGUCUCCGCCCACCGCCACCAAGUGCUGGGCACACAAGUGUACUGGCUGCUGUGCGGGCUCUCGGGAAUCCCCAGGGCUCAGAGAACAAGAUGCCCCGUUCCCACCAUGCCGCCCGCCCCCCCCCCCCCCCAGCAUCUAACAGGAAGCCCCAUAUCAGGGCAGAGGCCGAUGAAGGAGACUGGCUGGUGCCACGGACAGGAAAGGUCUGGGUCGCUUCCAUGCUGUGCGGCUGAUGUGCACUCGGGUGGUUUUUUGAGAGACUUCAGGCUCCAUCCGUUCCAAGCCGACCCUGCCCUGCUCAGAAACCCGGGGCCCAUAGCCCCAAGGCCCUAGCCCAGCUCCCCAUCCGACCCUGCUUCUGCCCCGCCUCACCUCGGGCCCUGCUACAGGCCACAGGGCCAGCAGGCCAUACUUUCUCAGCUUACUACCUCAGUUUCCCGAGGCCGGCAAACCCUCCCUGGGCACCCUCAGCGGGCAGGCCCUCCGCUUCCUGCUGUCCCCCCUCCCACCCCGGGCCUGUCGCCCGUGUCUGAUCUCACUCCCAGCCGACUGACCCUGUCUCCGUGUGCCCCCUCCCCCACCCUGCCACUGCCACAGCCAAAGGCAGGGAUCUGGGUUGUGUGGAAUCCAACGGCAGCGAUCUUCCUGCGCGGUCCAACACAACAGUCACCCGCCGCAUGUGGCUAUUUAGAUAUAAAUUAGUUAAAAUUCAGUAGAAUUAAGAAUUCAGUUCCUUAGUCACCCCAGCCACGUUGCCAGUGCCUGAUGGCCAUAGGUAGCCGGUGGACCUCUACUGGACAGCACAGAUCUGGAACAUUCCUGUUACCAAAGACAGUUUUUUUGGGGUAGCACUGAUCUAAAAAUUUCCCACCACGUAAAGAUGCGGAGGGGAACACUCGUGUUGCAGAGCCUUUAGGGCAUUCUGUGUUAAGAGGUAGCUGUCUCUGUGAGGGCUUGCUGGAGGCGCUCUCCGUUUACAGGCCUGAGGCUUGGGUUCCUGGGCCUUUUCAGAAGCUGCCAGAAAACCCUCAGGCCCAACACCCUCAAGGGAACUG